rnacentral:tRNA from 1 species
GGGUGUGUAGCUCAGCUGGUCAGAGCGCUACGUUCACAUCGUAGAGUUCACAAGUUCGAACCUGGUCACACCCACCA